AUGAACGCUGACAGAAUGCUUAACACAUGCAAGUCGAUGGGGAAGUGGUGCUUGCACCAUGGCAACCAUGGCGGACGGGUGAGUAACGCGUAAGGGACUUACCUGCAGGACUGGGAUAACAGGGGAAAACUCCUGACAAGACCGGAUAAUGUCAUGGAGCUGCAUGGCUUUAUGAUGAAAGGAGACGCCUGCGGAGAGCCUUGCGUCCUAUUAGCUAGUUGGUGAGGUAAUGACUCACCAAGGCGAAGAUAGGUAGCCGGCCUGAGAGGGUGGACGGCCACAAGGGGACUGAGAUACGGCCCUUACUCCUACGGGAGGCAGCAGUGGGGAAUAUUGGACAAUGGGGGCAACCCUGAUCCAGCAAUUCUGUGUGCACGAAGAAGGUUUUCGGAUUGUAAAGUGCUUUCAGCAGGGAAGAAGUAAGUGACGGUACCUGCAGAAGAAGCGACGGCUAAAUACGUG
rnacentral:rRNA from 1 species